CAUCACAUAGCAACCAUUUCAUCACCACCACAUAUUCUGAACAACAAUAUAUUCAUUUGGGAUUCCUCUGCUUCAAGAAAUUGAUCGAGAUAAGUUUGUAUAGCUUGAAAUAUUUGGGCUUAAUGGAUGAUUUGGUAGCUUGUCGUUUGGACUUGAGCAAUAAUUGAUCCAUUCUAUGGAAUUCUCCUGCGCUGAUGAACGUAAAGUAGCUGAAGGUAUCGAUGAUCAGAACACAAAGAAGCAAAGAAUUAUUCAUUAAGAUGAAAAUUCAGCCCAGGGAAAUGUCACUUUGACAGAAGAAAACGUCCGGAAGCAAUGCCAGAAAGAUUCUCUCUGAUAUAACAGCUAUGAUUGGCGAAAAGUUGCCCGAAGAAAGGAAGAAUCUUGUUGCAAUAUGGGCUGAUCCAUUUGUGCAAAAACAAUGAUGUGUCAAUUUCAAGGUUGCUAGAAGCUUGGUCUCUCUCUGUUCUUUAAGCUUGCCUCCUAAUGACCUACUGGUUGCCAAAGAAAUGGCAGCAGAACUUUCAAAAGUGACCGGAUCAGAUGACAGAGAUCGGUUAGAGAAAUCUGAAACCUCCCGCAUCAUAAACAAAUCAACAGAUCAUCGAGCAGAGUAAUUGCUGAGAAUUUUUGCCAAGUUUUUCAAGAACCUGGCUCGAAUAUCAAAGCUGUUUAUUGCUCCUAAAGGCUGCAACCUGCAAGCAACUUUUACCAAGCCUCAAGUAACGGGAACUCGUGGAAAUAACUUGUAUGCAGUUAACUGUCCCAAUUUGUAAUCUUGCGCACGAUGCAAUAGAACCAAGAGAGCAAUAAAACUAGAGGACUUGUUAGUACAAUCAAAAGAGAAAAUGGAUGCAUCCCGGACUUGAUCUUCCAAAUAGAAGACCAUGAGAAAUAUCUCAUCCAACUGAGCAAGAUCACCAAAAAAAAUUUGUUGAGACAUGCCAAAUGUAGCACAUCUCGAGAAUUUCAAAAUUGUAGUGCCUAGUGAAGAUCCAUUGGAAGACGAAAAACCGAACCAAAAAUCACAAAACAAUAAUUCCGAUAUUGCUGAAAGUGAAUCGUCCAAAGAAUAUGGUAACGAAGGAACAGAAGAAAUUGAAAACUUUAUGGUGCCCGAGUCUAGUCCUGUGGGGGCAGAUUAUGAAGUUCCUAACGCAAAAAGAGGAAUUUGGGCAUCAAUGUGCACGAAUCCUUGGUUUAAGAAGCAUAACAAUCAUCAUUAGUUAUAUUUGGGCAUCAAUGUGCACGAAUCCUUGGUUUGAGAAGCAUAACAAUCAUCAUUAGUUAUACUCUUAUCAAAUACAAAUAAAAUAUG